UUUAAAGUCUCUUUUACUCCUUUCUCCUCACCUCUAUCUUUCUCAUCAUUCUUUUUCCUCUAUAUAUAUUCCCCUAAACACAAAGCCAUCAUACAUGUCGAGAGUGCAUGCUUCUAGUUCUAGUCAUUAUCUAAAUAUGAGGAAUGGGAAUGGAAGCACGAGUUGUUGUUUUUGGGAUAGGGUAACUUGCAACGAGUACAUAGAUGGCCUAAUUAGCCUCGAAUGAAGCUAUGGUAUGCUCACAAUUAUCAUCCACAUCAUCUGCUUUCUAACCCAUUAAUCCUCUUGAUUUGUCUUUAUAUCUGUUUAUCAUACAAGAAUCAAACAUCAUGUUUUCAACCAUCUUUUUCCAAAUUGCACUCUUUGUAUAUAUAAAGCAUAAACACCCUUCAUAGGUCCAUUUUGUAUGUUUGUUUUCCUUCUGUUUUAACCAUUUAUCUUAAUCUCUCUUUUUGACAAUCUUAGAUCUUGGAGGACCAUGAUUUGUGGUGAUCAAAAGAUCAAGAAAUGUUAAACAAGAGAGGUGAGAUUAGUGGGUAAACAGAAUAUACGUACGUCAUAUAUAACUAUGAAAGGGUCUUUCUUCUUUUUCGUAAGAGUGUGAUUUUAUGGAAGAUUGUAAAUACUAACUAUGAAGUUUGGUUGUAUGGAUGAUAUGAUACGUUUGAGCUUACCACAACUCAGGUCGAUACUGAUUGCAAUCUUAGUGGACUAGUUGCAAGUGACUCCAUCCCAUGAACAAUAAUUUGAAUUUGUGCCCCUGAUCAGUCAUAUUCGAUUAAUCUUACUACAUUAUUUGGAUCCAAAGUCUUGUUAAGAUUUAUGGAGUCAUGAACAAAUUGACAAGUUCCUAAGAGUUUAAGGACCAUAAAUGUAACUUAGCAAUGAAUUGAAUUAUUGGAAGAAUCGUCACUGUUACCAACUCCAUGUGCAGAAGUAAAUUUUGUUUCCGCCUCAACAAGCAACACGAAAUGCAUGUUAAAUUAUUUCAACUGUGCAUAUUUUCGAGGAGGAAAUUUUCUUUCUUUUGCAGACAAUUUACAAAGGUAAAAUAGUGGGUAUUCACUUUCACAUUAGAGUGAAUUAUUGUUACGGCUCACAAUAUAUAUAUACUGGCCGUUCCAAACAUAUUGUGGGCUUAGGGUGAAAAAAAAAAAUAGGCCCUUAAAAAAAUACAAAUGUCAUCAAGUUUUUUUAUAAUAAAUCAAUAAUUAAAAGAAAAUUAUUUGUACUAUCUUCUAAAUAUAACAAUUUCCAUAAAAAAUUUGGAUCCCUUUAAAAGAUGGACCUUCGACGGUCGCUCAUAUUGUUCACCCUCUGGGACGGGCCUGUAUAUAUAUAAAUAUGUGUGUUGUAAGUAGAAACAUUACAGAGCACAACACAACGAGCAUAGAUACACAGAAAAGAAAUAGUGAUGUUGUAUUUUUGUUGAGUCUUAUUUUCGGUAGUCAAAAAUACAAGUGGUGCCUUAUAGUGAGUGAUCAUAUUACAAGUGCAGUUUUAGCCUUAUAUUAUUGUAAUUUUCUUUAGUGCUAAAUAAAAUCUCCUCUCUCGUUCGCCCAUGGAUGUAGGUCAAAUAAGACCGAACCACGUUAAAUAUCGUGUUCAGUUUCGUUUGCAAAUUUUUAGUAGUUUAUUCCGUAUGUGUUACUGAAAUCAUUUAUCGUUUUGUCCAAAAUGUUUAACUUGUUUUGUUGUAUUCCCAAUGAGUCUAAACGUAUAUGUUGAUAUUCGUAUUAAGUUUCAUAAAAAAAUUAAAAAAAAAGGAAAUAAUGGUAACAAUGACAUGUGGAUCUAGGGUGGUCGGUAAUUGAUAGUUGCACAUCCUUGAAAAUUAAUUGAGCUUUCAUCAAACUAUUUUUUAUAUUUAAUUAUUUUUUUAAUUUUUACAAUCAAUUAAAU
rnacentral:lncRNA from 1 species